CAGGACAUAGCUAUAAUAACCAAAGCGCUCGGCUUACACCCGAGAGAUAUCUGCGACUACACAGAUUGCCCUGA
rnacentral:tRNA from 1 species